rnacentral:lncRNA from 1 species
GAGAAACAAUACCAAAUAUCAGCGAUCAACAAAUUGAGCGAAUGCGAGAGCGAGAACUAGCUAAUUGGUUAAAAGACUAUGUAAGUAUUGCAAGUGAUGAUUUUAACAUGUGUAUUAUUGUUGACUUCUAACUUAAUAUUUCAACAUUAGGUGGGAAGGAAAGAAGUUGAUAAUUGCAUUUAUCAAAUAGCUCAAGGGCCCAGCCGAAAAGUACAAUCAUAUA